CUAUAUACCUGGCGUAGGGAACACCGUGAUCAUGAAGGCAGUUCUCCCAGAACGAGGCCUAUACAUUGCACUGCGGAUGGGUUGAACUCUGCGAUUAUCCCUAAUGCGGAUAAAUCGGACGCAUAUUUUUUGGAAAAACGCCUUUAAGUGUAACUUAACGUA